rnacentral:hammerhead_ribozyme from 1 species
AUCCAGCUGAUGAGUCCCAAAUAGGUUGAAACGCGCCUCGUGGAU